rnacentral:rRNA from 1 species
AGAGUUUGAUCCUGGCUCAGGAUGAACGCUGGCGGCGUGCUUAACACAUGCAAGUCGAACGAUCCUCCGGGAUAGUGGCGGACGGGUGAGUAACGCGUGGGAAUCUGCCCUCAGGAGGGGGAUAACGGCUGGAAACGGCCGCUAAUACCCCAUAUGCCGAGAGGUGAAACGAAUUUCGCCUGAGGAUGAGCCCGCGUCUGAUUAGCUAGUUGGUGGGGUAACGGCCCACCAAGGCGACGAUCAGUAGCUGGUCUGAGAGGAUGAUCAGCCACACUGGGACUGAGACACGGCCCAGACUCCUACGGGAGGCAGCAGUGGGGAAUUUUCCGCAAUGGGCGAAAGCCUGACGGAGCAACGCCGCGUGAGGGAUGAAGGCCUCUGGGCUGUAAACCUCUUUUCUCAAGGAAGAAGACCUGACGGUACUUGAGGAAUAAGCCACGGCUAAUUCCGUGCCAGCAGCCGCGGUAAUACGGGAGUGGCAAGCGUUAUCCGGAAUUAUUGGGCGUAAAGCGUCCGCAGGCGGCCUUGUAAGUCUGUUGUUAAAGCGUGGAGCUUAACUCCAUUUAAGCAAUGGAAACUACAAGGCUGGAGUGUGGUAGGGGCAGAGGGAAUUCCCGGUGUAGCGGUGAAAUGCGUAGAUAUCGGGAAGAACACCAGUGGCGAAGGCGCUCUGCUGGGCCAUAACUGACGCUCAUGGACGAAAGCCAGGGGAGCGAAAGGGAUUAGAUACCCCUGUAGUCCUGGCCGUAAACGAUGAACACUAGGUGUCGGGGGAAUCGACCCCCUCGGUGUCGUAGCCAACGCGUUAAGUGUUCCGCCUGGGGAGUACGCACGCAAGUGUGAAACUCAAAGGAAUUGACGGGGGCCCGCACAAGCGGUGGAGUAUGUGGUUUAAUUCGAUGCAACGCGAAGAACCUUACCAGGGUUUGACAUCCUGCGAACCCCUGAGAAAUCGGGGGGUGCCUUCGGGAGCGCAGAGACAGGUGGUGCAUGGCUGUCGUCAGCUCGUGUCGUGAGAUGUUGGGUUAAGUCCCGCAACGAGCGCAACCCACGUCUUUAGUUGCCAGCAUUCAGUUGGGCACUCUAGAGAGACCGCCGGUGAUAAACCGGAGGAAGGUGUGGAUGACGUCAAGUCAUCAUGCCCCUUACAUCCUGGGCUACACACGUACUACAAUGCUACGGACAAAGGGCAGCAAGCUCGCGAGAGUUAGCAAAUCCCAUAAACCGUGGCUCAGUUCAGAUCGUAGGCUGCAACUCGCCUACGUGAAGGAGGAAUCGCUAGUAAUCGCAGGUCAGCAUACUGCGGUGAAUACGUUCCCGGGCCUUGUACACACCGCCCGUCACACCAUGGAAGUUGGCCAUGCCCGAAGUCGUUACUCCAACCCUUGUGGAGGAGGACGCCGAAGGUGGGGCUGAUGACUGGGGUGAAGUC